GCCAGCCACUGGGGAGGCUGAAGCUGAUGAAUUUCUUGAGCUCAGGAAUUCUGACCUGUAGUGAGCUAUGCUGAUUGGGUACCUACACUAAGUUUGAUAUUAGUAUGGUGAACCUACAGGAGUGGGGACCACCAGAUGGCCUAAAAAGAGGUGAGGUCAGCACAGAAAUGGAGCAAGUUAAAGCUCUUGUGCCAGUCAGUAGAGGGAUUGGAUUUGUGAAGAGCUUAUGAAUUUUAGCUUGGGUGAAAUAAGGAGACCCAGUCUUUC
rnacentral:SRP_RNA from 1 species